CCUACGGGGGGCUGCAGUGGGGAAUUUUCCGCAAUGGGCGAAAGCCUGACGGAGCAAGACCGCGUGAGGGAGGAAGGCCUAUUGGUUGUAAACCUCUUUUCUCUAGGAAGAUAAUGACGGUACUAGAGGAAUCAGCAUCGGCUAACUCCGUGCCAGCAGCCGCGGUAAGACGGAGGAUGCAAGCGUUAUCCGGAAUGAUUGGGCGUAAAGCGUCCGUAGGUGGUUAGAUAAGUUUGCUGUCAAAGAGUGGAGCUUAACUCCAUAAAGGCAGUGGA
rnacentral:rRNA from 1 species